GAGUCGGCCUGCGCGGAAGAUGUAACGGGGCUAAACCAUGCACCGAAGCUGCGGCAGCGAACGUAUCACCCAAGACAACUUUACGGAGUUGACGAUUGACGGAGCGAAGCGACGUCAAAGCGUUCAUUAAAGUCGAGUUGGCUUAGGGAUACGUUCGUUGGGUAGGGGAGCGUUCUGUAAGCCUGUGAAGGUGUGUCGUGAGGCAUGCUGGAGGUAUCAGAAGUGCGAAUGCUGACAUAAGUAACGAUAAAGCGGGUGAAAAGCC
rnacentral:rRNA from 1 species